AAUCUUAUAGUCAAUAAUGAUAUAAAAUUGCAAAUUUUAAGGAGUAAAUAAAAUACUAAGAUUU
rnacentral:tRNA from 1 species